rnacentral:misc_RNA from 1 species
CAUGUAUGGAUUUGAAAAAGAUUGAGGUGCACAGUCCACCACAUUCCAUGUUGUUUAUCAACAGCAUAGGAAAAACCGGCGCUCUCCAUCUAAUAAUUACAGCUUAUUGCUCAUUGACUAUGGAGGAAUGUUAUUUGUAUUUUUGUCAAAAUAUUUAUCUGAUUUCUUUAAGAUGAUUCAUUAUGAUUGUCCCUCAAACAGGACACAACUAACCUCAGAUUUCUGGGAAAUCCACUGUGAACACUUUUUAUCAACAUAAAGGCAUAAUAGCAAAAGAAAUAAGUUUAAGUUUGCAUAGAACAUUAACCCGAAAAAGUUCUGGUGGAAGUAGAAGAAAGAAGAUACCU